rnacentral:rRNA from 1 species
AGCGAACGCUGGCGGCAUGCCUAACACAUGCAAGUCGAACGAGAUCUUCGGGUCUAGUGGCGCACGGGUGCGUAACGCGUGGGAAUCUGCCCUUUGGUUCGGAAUAACAGUUGGGAACGACUGCUAAUACCGGAUGAUGACGAAAGUCCAAGGAUUUAUCGCCAGAGGAUGAGCCCGCGUAGGAUUAGCUAGUUGGUGUGGUAAAGGCGCACCAAGGCGACGAUCCUUAGCUGGUCUGAGAGGAUGAUCAGCCACACUGGGACUGAGACACGGCCCAGACUCCUACGGGAGGCAGCAGUGGGGAAUAUUGGACAAUGGGCGAAAGCCUGAUCCAGCAAUGCCGCGUGAGUGAUGAAGGCCUUAGGGUUGUAAAGCUCUUUUACCCGGGAUGAUAAUGACAGUACCGGGAGAAUAAGCUCCGGCUAACUCCGUGCCAGCAGCCGCCGUAA